rnacentral:misc_RNA from 1 species
GAUGAAGAACGCAGCGAAAUGCGAUAAGUAAUGUGAAUUGCAGAAUUCAGUGAAUCAUCGAAUCUUUGAACGCACAUUGCGCCCUCUGGUAUUCCGGGGGGCAUGCCUGUUCGAGCGUCAUUAUAACCACUCAAGCUCUCGCUUGGUAUUGGGGUUCGCGGUUUCGCGGCCCCUAAAAUCAGUGGCGGUGCCUGUCGGCUCUACGCGUAGUAAUACUUCUCGCGAUUGAGUUCGAUAGGUCGACUUGCCAGUAACCUCCAAUUUUUACAGGUUGACCUCGGAUCAGGUAGGGAUACCCGCUGAACUUAAGCAUAUCAAUAAGCGGAGGA